CGACCGGCGCACGGUGAGUAACGCGUAUGCAACUUACCUAUCAGAGGGGGAUAGCCCGGCGAAAGUCGGAUUAAUACCCCAUGAAACAGGGGUCCCGCAUGGGAAUAUUUGCUAAAGAUUCAUCGCUGAUAGAUAGGCAUGCGUUCCAUUAGGCAGUUGGCGGGGUAACGGCCCACCAAACCGACGAUGGAUAGGGGUUCUGAGAGGAAGGUCCCCCACAUUGGUACUGAGACACGGACCAA
rnacentral:rRNA from 1 species